GUAUUACUUAUGUCUGUACUUGUUAACAUUUUUAUUCAUGAUGCUCUUCUGCAUGUGUGAGUGAAUGGUGCAUGAGUGUACUCUCAUUGUAUGCUCUGGACCCCCCCGCGACCCUGAAUAGGACAAGCAGGUCAACAGAAAAAAGAAGAGGAACCAUUUUACUGUGAUAUUAGAUCAGAAGACGUGUGUGCAGGAGAUACAGACCAACCUCCCGCCAUUUUUGAAGAGGUCAGUCAUGCCACAGAAACAGCAGGUGCUCAAGAACAUGCAUUUUAUUCUGCUGUUCGGUUGAAGUCUUAUGAUUGAGCUGGUAUCAUAAAUACUUUUUGUAUCAUUGAGCUUUUAGCACAGAAUAUGGUUCUUAUGGUAAUUUUAUGUUAUUUGCUAAAUUAUCAUUUAUUAUAUCUCAGCUAUAGACUUAUAUGCAUUGUAUAUUUUGAGCACUUUGAGAUUUUUGGUAAUGUAAAGUGCAGUAUAAAUAAAAUGUAUUAUUAUUAUUAUUUAUAUUUUAUUAACAUCUGCAUUGAUGGAAAAUGUGAGCAGUUCUUUACUUGUUCUUUUUAUAUCUUGCUCUGUUCACUUGGUUUUCAACUAAAUAACUGGUUGAAUGUUUGUGGCUUGAGAGUGACACAGAAACAUCAAAGAACUUGUCGCUUUAGGGAGAAGCAUCGGCUAAAUAAGUGCAAAGGUAACUAUAUUUUUAUAAGUGUGGCUCAGUGUGACCUGCGCUGUCGCUGAGCGAUUCAGUGGUUUUGGUAUCUUUGACAAUAAUCGACACACCAUAGCCUCUGGCCUGUGGGUAACACUGUCAUGCAACAACCACACAAUGUUCUGCUGACGUCUUUUAAAAGUAAUUCCGCUAAAGUUACUUUGUUCCCACGCUUGUGAUCAACAAUGAUUCUUCUAGCAAGCUUUGUUUUUCUUUAGAUUCAUCCCUCUAUUCAUUAUUCUUUCAUUUCUCCCUAUAUUCCCAGUCUCAGCCACCAUCCCACAGCAUGACACCACUGCCACCCUGCUUCCCAGUAGUGAUUCUGGGCCAUCAGCAGUGGGCUUUUGAGUUUAUUCAUUCUAAAUGAUGACGUCUUCAUUUCUACCUUUCCAUUCUGUUUCGUAGAGGUUAUUUACUGAUGUACCUUUACUCCAGGCUCAGCCAGUGAAGCUUGUAGAUCUUUCAGACUGGUUGCUGGCCUCUCCAUGGUCUUCCUUACAAGCCUCCUUCCCAUUCAGACAAUUAUUGUGCUGCUCGAGAUCUUUUUUAACUGCUGUCUGGGUGCCAGUCCCAUCUCUGCUCUCUGAGUGUGCAGUUCCCCUGUGUUGGGUGGGUUACUUCCCGCAGUCGAAACACAGACAGUAAUGCUAAUUGGCAUCUAUUAGGGAUGUGGAUCUCCAUCUCUAACAACAGCAGUGGAGGACUGAAGAUGAGACAGUGCACUUGAGAAACAGUGUAGAGAGGGAGAAUCGAUCUAAAUGUAAAAUUGUUGGUCACAUUUCUAAAUAAUAAAGGCAUUUAGGGCUUCUGCUAAUAACUAAAUAUUAAUGUAACCGUGGCUAUGGGCUGCCUUCCCACUCGAUACCUGCAGUGGACAGGGCAGGUCAGGCCUGGGACCCUCACACGGUGGCACUCUGUUGUGUUUUGGUAUGUUGGUGAUGUGAUGUGAUGUGACAUGGUGACCCUCCUCUUUUGGGGAGUGCAAUAAGACGGGAGAGGUGGGUGCUGGUGAAUACAGUCUGGAGGAGAAUAUGAGGUAAACAACAAAAUAAAGGUAAAGACGGGCUUGUAGGCUUAAAUCUAAACAAAUGACUUAAAAAGGAAAAAAACAAAAUGUGGACUGUAUGAGAGAUUAAUCCUCCCUUUCUCAUAAACAUAAGAACGAGUUUGUGUUUCCUCUCCCUUCACAAAGGAAAACUUGUUUUUGUGUGCAACAGUUUACAUUAGUCACAAAUUAAACUGUUCAUUGUUAUCUCCAUAAAACAUGGACAAAUACAACAAAAUUAUAACCAAUAAUAUUUAAGCAGUUAAUGCUUAGUUAUACUUUUUCACCCCGAAAUAACUCCCUGCUAACUUUACCACAGCGGGCACUGCGACGUGUUGAGCUAUAUACAAAUUUAUAAAGAGCUAAACAUAUUACAUUUAAUCAAAAUCUUUUAAAUCUUUAUGCCGGUGCACUGAUGCGAAUCGAGGAAUCUCACCAUCACUGGCAUUUAGACAGUGACCAUUGUGAGUGAGCCCUGCAGUGGACUGGCAUCGUACCCAGGGUGUACCCCAGCCUUGUACCCCAGCCUUGUACCCCAGCCUUGUACCCCAGCCUUGUGCCCCCUACUGCCUGGGAUGGGCUGCAGGCCCACAGGGACCCUGACCAGGAUAAGCAGUUAUUCAAUGGAUGGAUGCAUGGACAGAGAAAUAAAGAUAUUCAGAACCAACAGUCAAACUGGCUACCAAAGAAAUAUGUGACGGAAAAGGAACCUGAGAUACUAAUUAUGGGCCCUUUAUCUGAAAUGUGAUUUUAAUUGCUGUUCAGUGUUGUGGGUUGGCUGUAUGUCUACGUUUUUGAAGCCAUUUACUCAGUUGAAUACAGGGCUUUACACGUUAAAAUAGUCUUGUAUUAUUUUAAUAGUAUGCAUUGUGCAGAAUGUUCAGUGUAGGAUAGGUAUUUAGGUUUUUGGGCAGUGGAGUAACUUAUACGUCUCCAAUGUGAUAAAUCUGAGUAGCUUUUGGUUGUGUAAUUGUCCAUGUUUUAAGGUGUAAUAAAUGAA